rnacentral:rRNA from 1 species
AUACUGAGGGUGCAAGCGUUAUCCGGAAUCAUUGGGUUUAAAGGGUUCGUAGGCGGGUCAAUAAGUCAGAGGUGAAAUCUUGCGGCUUAACUGUAAAAUUGCCUUUGAUACUGUUGACCUUGAAUUACUGUGAAGUGGUUAGAAUAUGUAGUGUAGCGGUGAAAUGCUUAGAGAUUACAUAGAAUACCGAUUGCGAAGGCAGAUCACUAACAGUAUAUUGACGCUGAUGAACGAAAGCGUGGGUAGCGAACGGGAUUAGAAACCCUAGUAGUCC